GGGAUAACUACUGGAAACGGUAGCUAAUACCGCAUAACGUCGCAAGACCAAAGAGGGGGACCUUCGGGCCUCUUGCCAUCAGAUGUGCCAGAUGGGAUUAGCUAGUAGGUGGGGUAACGGGCUCACCUAGGCGACGAUCCCUAGCUGGUCUGAGAGGAUGACCAGCCACACUGGAACUGAGACACGGUCCAG
rnacentral:rRNA from 1 species